AUGGCCAGGAACUCCCCGAGCGUCGGCGGCAUCAAGCGGAGCUCCUCCGCGAGACGAACAUCCUCGUCCUCGGCAAUGUCGGCCCAGCGCAGGCUGCGCGGCACCCAGGCCGGAGGAGCAGAGGACAGGGAAGCCGGAUCCGUUGUCCGCCCGGCCACCACGGAGUCCGCGGAGGCGGACGACCAUCAGGUCGCCGUGUAUCCGCCUUGGCUACGUGCAUUCAGGAUUCCAGGUCUGGUGGUUCGGAUGGAGAGGUAG
rnacentral:rRNA from 1 species